GGGUCCGGCAUAACCCCGGGAAACUGGGGAUAAUUCCGGAUAACGCACAUAUGCUGGAAUGCUUUAUGCGUAAAAUGGAUUCGUCUGCCCAAGGAUGGGUCUGCGGCCUAUCAGGUAGUAGUGGGUGUAAUGUACCUACUAACCAACAACGGGUACGGGUUGUGAGAGCAAGAGCCCGGAGAUGGAUUCUGAGACAUGAAUCCAGGCCCUACGGGGCGCAGCAGGCGCGAAAACUUUACAAUGCGGGAAACCGUGAUAAGGGGACACCGAGUGCCAGCAUCAUAUGCUGGCUGUCCGGGUGUGUAAAAUACACCCGUUAGCAAGGGCCGGGCAGGACCGGUGCCAGCCGCCGCGGUAACACCGGCGGCCCGAGUGGUGAUCGUGAUUAUUGGGUCUAAAGGGUCCGUAGCCGGUUUGGUCAGUCCUCCGGGAAAUCUGACGGCUCAACCGUUAGGCUUUCGGGGGAUACUGCCAGGCUUGGAACCGGGAGAGGUAAGAGGUACUACAGGGGUAGGAGUGAAAUCUUGUAAUCCCUGUGAGACCACCUGUGGCGAAGGCGUCUUACCAGAACGGGUUCGACGGUGAGGGACGAAAGCUGGGGGCACGAACCGGAUUAGAUACCCGGGUAGUCCCAGCCGUAAACGAUGCUCGCUAGGUGUCAGGCAUGGCGCGACCGUGUCUGGUGCCGCAGGGAAGCCGUGAAGCGAGCCACCUGGGAAGUACGGCCGCAAGGCUGAAA
rnacentral:rRNA from 1 species